rnacentral:lncRNA from 1 species
CGUACUGGUCCCCCGUGGGAAUCAAACCCAGAACCCUGGCGUUGCAAACACCAUGCUCUACCAACUGAGCCACACGGCUCAGUUGCAUGCAAUAAGAAUAUGAAUUAUGUGAUGCUUGUGAUUGCAGGAUAUGAUCCCGCAGCCAAAGCUGCUAAAUAUGGUAUGCCAAGUGGGGCGGGCAUCGGUGGAGAAGGUGUGCCAGCACCUAUAGCGACUCCAAGACCAGGUGUGGGCGUGGGUGGUGGUGUUGGAGGAACUGCCAUUGAGCGCACUGACGUCCCAGUGGGCACAGGGAUACCUAUCGCAGGCAAACCAGCAGAGGAUUCAUCUCUAGAACCCAGUGGAACUCCCAUCCCAGGUGCCACAGGAGUAACUGGAGUUGGGGCUGGGGUUCUUCAACCUAGUGGUAAGUCAUUUAAAUAG